UACGUAGGGGGCUAGCGUUGUCCGGAAUCAUUGGGCGUAAAGAGCGUGUAGGCGGCCCGGUAAGUCCGCUGUAAAAGUCAAAGGCUCAACCUUUGAAUGUCAGUGGAUACUGCUGGGCUAGAGUCCGGAAGAGGCGAGUGGAACUCCUGGUGUAGCGGUGGAAUGCGCAGAUAUCAGGAGGAACACCGGCUGGCGAAGGCGGUUCUCUGGGCAUUACCUGACGCUGAGGAGCGAAAGUGUGGGGAGCGAACAGG
rnacentral:rRNA from 1 species